AUACGGGGGAUUCAAGCGUUAUCCGGACUUAUUGGGUUUAAAGGGUGCGUAGGCUGAUAAAUCAGUCAGCGGUGAAAUUUACGGGCUUAACUUGUAGCUUGCCGUUGAAACUAUUUAUCUAGAGAUAUUUCGGCGUAUGCGGAAUGUAUCAUGUAGCGGUGAAAUGCAUAGAUAUGCUACAGAACACCAAUCGCGAAGGCAGCAUACGAGGCAUCAUCUGACGCUGAUGCACGAAAGCGUGGGGAGCAAACAGGAUUAGAUACCCUGGUAGUCCACGCUGUAAACGAUGAAUACUAGGUGUAGGGGGUAUCGACUCCCUCUGUGCCGCAGUUAACACAAUAAGUAUUCCGCCUGGGGAGUACGGCCGCAAGGUUGAAACUCAAAUGAAUUGACGGGG
rnacentral:rRNA from 1 species